UCUAGAACUCGAGAUAUAGGCUGAACAGUGAACAAUGUCUGGGCUGCAGGACAGAUUCCGACUUCUCCGUUGUUGCUACCAUUUGAACUCGAAAAUGACACUUUUAAAUCUUGAACUCAUUAUGAAAGUUUUAGACCUAUGUCUUAGCUUUCCAUA
rfam:Populus trichocarpa scaffold_4_contig_167, whole genome shotgun sequence.